rnacentral:rRNA from 1 species
GCACCGGAUCCCAUCAGAACUCCGCAGUUAAGCGUGCUUGGGCGAGAGUAGUACUAGGAUGGGUGACCUCCUGGGAAGUCCUCGU